rnacentral:rRNA from 1 species
GAUGAACGCUGGCGGCGUGCCUAAUACAUGCAAGUCGAGCGAACAGACGAGGAGCUUGCCCCUCUGACGUUAGCGGCGGACGGGUGAGUAACACGUGGAUAACCUACCUAUAAGACUGGGAUAACUUCGGGAAACCGGAGCUAAUACCGGAUAAUAUAUUGAACCGCAUGGUUCAAUAGUGAAAGACGGUUUUGCUGUCACUUAUAGAUGGAUCCGCGCCGCAUUAGCUAGUUGGUAAGGUAACGGCUUACCAAGGCAACGAUGCGUAGCCGACCUGAGAGGGUGAUCGGCCACACUGGAACUGAGACACGGUCCAGACUCCUACGGGAGGCAGCAGUAGGGAAUCUUCCGCAAUGGGCGAAAGCUUGACGGAGCAACGCCGCGUGAGUGAUGAAGGUCUUCGGAUCGUAAAACUCUGUUAUUAGGGAAGAACAAAUGUGUAAGUAACUAUGCACGUCUUGACGGUACCUAAUCAGAAAGCCACGGCUAACUACGUG